rnacentral:rRNA from 1 species
GAUGAACGCUGGCGGCGUGCCUAAUACAUGCAAGUCGAGCGAACGGACGAGGAGCUUGCUUCUCUGAUGUUAGCGGCGGACGGGUGAGUAACACGUGGAUAACCUACCUAUAAGACUGGGAUAACUUCGGGAAACCGGAGCUAAUACCGGAUAAUAUUUUGAACCGCAUGGUUCAAAAGCGAAAGACGGUCUUGCUGUCACUUAUAGAUGGAUCCGCGCUGCAUUAGCUAGUUGGUAAGGUAACGGCUUACCAAGGCAACGAUGCAUAGCCGACCUGAGAGGGUGAUCGGCCACACUGGAACUGAGACACGGUCCAGACUCCUACGGGAGGCAGCAGUAGGGAAUCUUCCGCAAUGGGCGAAAGCCUGACGGAGCAACGCCGCGUGAGUGAUGAAGGUCUUCGGAUCGUAAAACUCUGUUAUUAGGGAAGAACAUAUGUGUAAGUAACUGUGCACAUCUUGACGGUACCUAAUCAGAAAGCCACGGCUAACUACGUG